rnacentral:rRNA from 1 species
GAGGCACACGGAACUGUCGGUGUAGUAGUAAAAUGCGUUGAUAUCGACAGGAACACCAAAGGCGAAGGCAGUGUGCUAGAACAGUCCUGACACUCAUGGACGAAAGCGUGGGGAGCGAAGGGGAUUAGAUACCCCCGUAGUCCACGCUGUAAACGAUGUCUACUAGGUAUUGGCAGUAUCGACCCUGUCAGUGCCGUUCAAAAAAGCUAACGCGUUAAGUAGACCGCCUGGGGAGUACGGCCGCAAGGUUAAAACUCAAAGGAAUAGACGGGGACCCGCACAAGCGGUGGAUCAUGCGGUUUAAUUCGAUGAUACGCGGCGAACCUCACCAAGGCUUGACAUAUAGCUGCAAGCUCCCAGAAACGGGAGCCGCCUUCGAGGGUGCUAUACAGGUGCUGCAUGGUUGCCGUCAGCUCGUGCCGUGAGGUGUACCCUUAAGUGGGGUAACGAGCGCAACCCUCGCUGUGUGUUAAAUGUACACACAGGACUGCCUCCGCAAGGAGGAGGAAGGUGGGGACGACGUCAAAUCAGCAUGGCUCUUACGCCUUGGGCUACACGCAUGAUACAAUGGCUGGUACAAAGGGUUGCCAAACCGCGAGGUGGAGCUAAUCCCACAAAGCCAGUCUCAGUUCGGAUUGCAGGCUGAAAUUCGCCUGCAUGAAGUUGGAAUCGCUAGUAAACGCGCAUCAGAACGGCGCGUUGAAUACGUUCUCGGGUCUU